ensembl:lncRNA
AUUUCAAAGGCUGUCAUACAGAGGGAGGACAAGAUCUGUUCUCGAUCAUCCCAGAGUGCAAGACAUGCAAUAAUGAGCUCAAGUUAAAGGAAGCCAGAUUUCGGUUGAAUAUGAGGAAAAACUUCCUAACUGUUAGAGCAGUAUGAAAGUGGAGCCAGUGAAUUCAGGAGUAAGUGAGGGCUCCAACACUGGAGGCAUUCAAGAAAAUCUUAGAUAAUCACCUAGCACACUGGUUCUUAACCUUGGGUUACUCAGGAGUUUUGGACUGCAACUCCCAGAAGCCUUCACCACCAGCUGUCCUGACUGGGGUUUCUGGGAGUUGCAGUUCAAAAGCAUCCGAGUAACAAAGGUUAAGAACCACUGACCUAGCAGAUCUGCUUUGAUGGUAUUCCUGCACUGAGCAGGGGGUUGGACUUGAUGGCCUUGUGGGCCCUUCCAACUUCACUUUUCUAUGAUUCUAUGAUACUAUAGUCAGUACUACGUGUAUUUGCAGAAAGAGGGUAUUGCAGAGUCAGGGUGGAGAGGGGAGAUUAUGGGGUGCUCUGCCAGAUGAUCAGAUCCCAGCCAGCUGAGAGUUUCUGCCUUGAUUUGGGCUCAGAAGCAGAUAGGUUGCUGGUCUGAUUCUUUCACUGAAUUUAUUUAUUUUUAAUUUAUUUAUUAGAUUUUUAUCCUGCCCUUUUAGACAGAGUCUACUCAGGGCGGGUUCCAUUAAACAUUAUAAACUAAAACAGUUAAAACAAUUCAAAACAGUCUGCAUGCAUUCCUUCCUUUUUGCCUCUUUCCCUCUCUUCUCUCUUCCGUCUUCUUUCCGAUGCAGGCCGUGCUAGUCAAAAGAACUGCUGUGUUCCACCAGGCAGAGAAAGGCACAAAGGACGCUAGAGAGCAGGUUGUGCAGGAAAAUGAUGGAGCUGCUGCCUUGCCAGAUGGUGGAACAAGCUGUGGGUCUUCAGCUGUCACUAUGGAAAUGGAUUCAGCCCAGCCUGAUCAGGUAGGAGAAGUCGAAUCAGAGGGAAGCGCUGGGAAUGGUGGGAAUGGGAAGAUGUCGUCUGGAUGUCCCGGUUCCAAAAUAUUGUACGGAUAAAGCGAGCCUUACUGGAUCUGUCCAACGGCCCAUCUUGUCCGAUGUAGUGUCUUCUACAGUGGCUAGCUGGAUUCCUCUAGGGAGCUCAAAAGCAGAACAGGAGAGCAUUGAAUCCUCUCCUUUUAUUCCUCCUCAGCAACUGGUAUCCAAACUCCCGUUGCCUAGAGAUAUAGCUGGAUAACCUUCCUGUGCGUAUUACUCACAGGUAGCCUUCUAUUCUGUGAUUUUUCUCUCUUCUUUUCAUUCCAUUGAUAUUGGUGGAGGAAAGCAUAAGUUGUGGCAGUUCAUUUUAUAGUUUAAUUAUGUGCUCUAUUUAUGCAUUUUUUUUACUACCAAGGCUCUCAGAAAUUUACAGGCCUCUCUUGUGAGCUCCAGUGGGAGAGUCCUGGCCUUCUAGCUUACGUACCUUCUAAGCGACACAGCACAAAAGGAAAAGUGAUGGAGACGGAGGAGGAAAAAAGCAAGCUCAACUGACCUGUUCUUGAGUUCCCUUCGUGCUUGUAGAGAAACUAGAAACAUUUUAAAGGGAGAGGAGCAGUACGGAGAUGAAGUGUUGCGGCUUGUGCAGCGUCCUCUGGCUUCCUCGUGUUUCUUCCAUGGCAGCUGGUUGCAAGGGCUGUUUCUGGAAGACAGACAAAGGGGAGAACGAGGAAUCCUGAUGCAGCUGGCUUAGCCAUGUGACUCUGUUCGUCUCCAUUCCCUCUGUCUCUUAAUGCCUCAAACAUGUCGAUCCCCUUUUUUUAUGGUUUUGGAUUCUCAUAUGAGAUGGGAUGUGUGUUAGGUACUCUAUCUGGCUACGGAGCCAGAGGCUGGGAGUUCAAUCCCCCGCCCCCACUGUGCCUCCCAGGAGAAAAGCCAGCCUGGGUGGCCUUGAGCAAGCUGCACAGUCCCAGGGCUCCCUCUAGAGGAAGGGAAGGGGAUACCACUUCUGAGUACAGUACUCUAGCUAGAAAACUCUGAAAAUGGUCG